rnacentral:rRNA from 1 species
CCUACGGGGGGCAGCAGUAGGGAAUAUUGCUCAAUGGGGGAAACUCUGAAGCAGCAACGCCGCGUGGAGGAUGAAGGUUUUCGGAUUGUUAACUCCUUUUUUUAGAGAAGAUAAUGACGGUAUCUAACGAAUAAGCAACGGCUAACUCCGUGCCAGCAGCCGCGGUAAUACGGAGGGUGCAACGGUUACUCGGAAUCACUGGGCGUAAAGAGCGCGUAGGCUGGUUAGAAAGUCAGAUGUGAAAUCCUUUGGCUUAACCUUAGAACUGCAUUUGAAACUGUUAUUCUAGAGUAUGGGAGAGGUAGGUGGAAUUCUUGGUGUAGGGGUAAAAUCCGUAGAGAUCAAGAGGAAUACUCAUUGCGAAGGCGACCUGCUAGAACAUAACUGACGCUGAUGCGCGAAAGCGUGGGGAGCAAACAGGAUUAGAUACCCCAGUAGUC